ACCGGCUAGAUUUGAUGGCGUGAUGUCUUACAGGAAGUUCUCCGCUCCCAGACAUGGGUCCCUCGGCUUCCUGCCUCGGAAGUGCAGCAGCAGGCAUCAUGGGAAGGUGAAGAGCUUCCCCAAGGAUAACCCUUCCAAGCCGGUUCACCUCACAGCCUUCCUGGUAUACAAGGCUGGCAUGACCCAUAUCAUGCGGGAGGUCGAUAGGCCAGGAUCCAAGGUGAACAAGAAGGAGGUGGUGGAGGCUGUGACCAUUGUGGAGACGCCACCCAUGGUGGUUGUGGGCAUUGUGGGUUACGUGGAAACCCCUCGAGGCCUCCAGACCUUCAAGGCUGUCUUCGCUGAGCACAUCAGCGAUGAGUGCAAAAGGCAUUUCUAUAAGAACUGGCAUAAAUCUAAGAAGAAGGCCUUCACCAAGUACUGCAAGAAAUGGUAGGAUGAGGAUGGCAAGAAGCAGCUAGAGAAGGACUUCAGCAGCAUGAAGAAAUACUGCCAAGUCAUCCAUGUCAUAUGACA